GACAAACAUUAAGCCAUGAGCGAAAGCUUGACUUAGUUAGGGUUAAUAGGGCCGGUAAAACUCGUGCCAGCAACCGCGGUUAUACGAGAGGCCCGAAUUGACACAUCACGGCGUAAAGUGUGAUUAGAGAUAAACCAGACUAGAGCCAAACACCCCUUAUACUGUCAUACGUCAUGGGGGUCACGAGGACCAACAACGAAAGUGGUUCUAAUAACCUAAUCUUGAACUCACGACAGCCAAGAUACAAACUGGGAUUAGAUACCCCACUAUGCUUGGCCUUAAACUAAGGCGAUAAACCUACAAACUUCGCCCGCCAGGGAACUACGAGCCCUAGCUUAAAACCCAAGGGACUUGGCGGUGCCUCAAACCCACCUAGAGGAGCCUGUCCUAUAACCGAUGAUCCCCGUUUAACCUCACCUCUCCUUGCCAAUCCCGCCUAUAUACCGCCGUCGCCAGUUUACCUUUUGAAAGAACAACAGUAAGCAAAACGGGUAUUACCCAACACGUCAGGUCGAGGUGUAGCGAAUGGAGGGGGAAGAGAUGGGCUACAUUUUCUGGCAACAGAACACUACGAAGAGCACAAUGAAAUAUGUGCGGCCGAAGGUGGAUUUAGCAGUAAAAAGAAAGAAGAGAGUUCUUUUGAAACCGGCCCUGAGGCGCGUACACACCGCCCGUCACUCUCCUCGAAAAACGAAAUGCCCAUACAUAAAAUUUUAGACCAAUAGAGAGGAGGCAA
rnacentral:rRNA from 1 species